rnacentral:rRNA from 1 species
UCCUACGGGAGGCAGCAGUGGGGAAUAUUGCACAAUGGGCGGAAGCCUGAUGCAGCAACGCCGCGUGCGGGAUGACGGCCUUCGGGUUGUAAACCGCUUUCGCCUGUGACGAAGCGUGAGUGACGGUAGUGGGUAAAGAAGCACCGGCUAACUACGUGCCAGCAGCCGCGGUGAUACGUAGGGUGCGAGCGUUGUCCGGAUUUAUUGGGCGUAAAGGGCUCGUAGGUGGUUGAUCGCGUCGGAAGUGUAAUCUUGGGGCUUAACCCUGAGUGUGCUUUCGAUACGGGUUGACUUGAGGAAGGUAGGGGAGAAUGGAAUUCCUGGUGGAGCGGUGGAAUGCGCAGAUAUCAGGAGGAACACCAGUGGCGAAGGCGGUUCUCUGGGCCUUUCCUGACGCUGAGGAGCGAAAGCGUGGGGAGCGAACAGGCUUAGAUACCCUGGUAGUCCACGCUGUAAAC